AGAUCGGCCAUCGCCACAUUGAUUGUGCUCAAAUCUAUGGCAACGAAAAGGAGGUAGAGCAUUAAUAUGUUUUGAAGCUGUUGAAGAUGUCAUGACUAAGGAGAAUAUUGCUGAGCCAAUGAAGGAUAUCAGAAGAGCUCUCCUUGAAGCAGAUGUGAGCCUUCCUGUUGUUAGAAGGUUUGUUCAAUCUGUAAGUGACCAAGCCGUUGGAAUGGGUGUCAUUCGAGGAGUCAAACCAGAUCAGCAGUUGGUCAAG